CACUAGCCCGUGCGGCCGUGCGCACGAUCAGAGGGCGAACUGGUGCCCUCGUUGUAGCCAUAAGCACGCGGGAUGGUG